CGUAUUAGUUUUUGUCUACCUUCUCGUGCCAAUUAAAACCCUGUUUACCCCUCCAUCUGCCUGCUCUCACCUGCUUUCCUGGUCGCCCGCUCCGUGGCACAACAGGAAAGGUGUUUUCCCCAGUGGAGAGAUGGCAGAGUCCUGCAUGGGUCCACUUUUGGAGACCUGCACCCACACGCGAGGGAAGCAUCUGCCCCCAGCUCCCGUCUGCACCAUUCCCCACCAAGUCGAACCGUGGCUGCACUGCAUGAUUCAAAUGUUGUAGGAAACAGAAGCACAUCGGGGGUGGAUCUUGACAACGUUGGCAGACCUAAUAAGAGAUCCUGAGUCUCUCUCUGUGCGUCUCCCUCACUCCCCCUGCGAUGACAUCACCUUCUGAGGAAAGCAGCGAGCAGCUCACAGCACCUCCUGCUGGACCGCA